AAAACACUUUAGAAGUCUGUGCGAUGAGGCUGAGUUUUUAGGUUGAAAAUUGACAUUUGUUUAUACAUUUGGAAGUCAAAAUGAGACUAAAUAUACCAACUUGUUAAUUGGGCUGUGUCUCUUAAUAUUGCGUGACUUAUCUAAAGCCAAGGAAAGUUACUUGCAAUUUUUCAAAUUUGAAUCAAUUUGUUUUUGAUGGUGUUAAAAAGGCCUCGUAUUCUAAUGAUACUUGCUUUAUUGCUUAAUUGAUGAUCUUUUAUUAUUUGUAAAACAUAUUUUUAAAUAUUUUUCUCAUAAUUUUUAAGUUCUUUAUUUAAUUAAAAAUUUUUAUUUAAGAGAUGUGCUGUUGCUCUGUUCCUAGGGUGGACUCAAACUCCUAGGCUCAAGUGACCCUUGAGCAGCUGGGACUGCAAGUGGGCACCACCAUGCCUGGCUUCUCAUAAUUUUUAAAUAGACUUUCUAUAACUGAAAUAGUAAUUAUUUUAUGAUCUCUAACUUCAGAAAUCAUUUUCUGUUUUGUGUAGGAAUCCAAGAUAUUUCAUAGCUGGCCAAAGUUACAAGCUCAGAUCCCAUUGUUGUUGGAUAUUGAAUUCUAAUUCAGGUUUCUAUGAUCAGGCUCAUGAAGAAAUAACACCAGGAAAAUCUGCUCUCUCUUAAUAUGUGCAAACAAAUUCAGAAAUGACAUAUUUCAAAGGUAGGUCAUAUCUGAUUUAACAUGCUUCUGGAUUCCACCUAAGAAGUCAUUCCUUGCCUUGUUUCCUCUGCUUCCUCCUUCCCCAGGGCCUGCCAAGGAGCUUUACCUUGUGAAGUGAUGAAUGCAUAUGGGCCACUCACUCUAGCAGU
rnacentral:lncRNA from 1 species